GAUGAACGCUGACAGAAUGCUUAACACAUGCAAGUCUUUGGCGAAGCUGUGCUUGCACAGCCUAGCCAAGGCGGACGGGUGAGUAACGCGUAAGGAACUUGCCCUGCAGUCAGGGAUAACAGACGGAAACGACUGAUAAGACCUGGUAAAGUCAGGCGGACUCAUGUCCAGCCUGAUGAAAAGAGAUGCUGCAGGAGAGCCUUGCGUCCUAUUAGCUUGUUGGUGGGGUAACGGCCCACCAAGGCGAUGAUAGGUAGCCGGCCUGAGAGGGUGGACGGCCACAAGGGGACUGAGAUACGGCCCUUACUCCUACGGGAGGCAGCAGUGGGGAAUAUUGGACAAUGGGGGCAACCCUGAUCCAGCAAUUCUGUGUGCACGAAGAAGGUUUUCGGAUUGUAAAGUGCUUUCAGCAGGGAAGAAAAAAAUGACGGUACCUGCAGAAGAAGCGACGGCUAAAUACGUGCCAGCAGCCGCGGUAAUACGUAUGUCGCAAGCGUUAUCCGGAAUUAUUGGGCAUAAAGGGCAUCUAGGCGGCCAGAUAAGUCUGGGGUGAAAACUUGCGGCUCAACCGCAAGCCUGCCCUGGAAACUAUGUGGCUAGAGUACUGGAGAGGUGGACGGAACUGCACGAGUAGAGGUGAAAUUCGUAGAUAUGUGCAGGAAUGCCGAUGAUGAAGAUAGUUCACUGGACGGUAACUGACGCUGAAGUGCGAAAGCUAGGGGAGCAAACAGG
rnacentral:rRNA from 1 species